rnacentral:lncRNA from 1 species
UGAUUUUCAUGGGUCUUUCUAACUUUAUGAUUCCCUUAUUCUGAUAUAAAUGACUUGGACUCCUUCUCUUACCUAAUCUUUACAGAUAGUACAGGAAGAGGAGGGCUUGCUUGAUUUGAUUCACAGUUAUGGAUAUGCCAUCAUGUGACGUUUUAACCUCACUGCGUUGUGAAAAGUGAGUAACGAAUUUGUGUCUUUCUCUUAAGANUUUUAAGAUUUUAUUUAUUUAUUCAUGAGAGACACACAGAGAGAGGCAGAGACAUAGACAAAGGGAGAAGCAGGCUUCUCACAGGGAGCCCCAUGUGGGUGGGACUCACUCCCCGGGGCCCCAGGAUCAUGCCAUGAGCUGAAGGCAGACGGAUGCUCAACUGCUGAGCCACCAAGGUGUCCCUCUAAAGAUUUUCUAAAGAGUUAAUUUUUAUUUCCAUAAUUUAAAAUAAAAAUUUUUAUUUCCACCACUAUAUACUAAAUGCUAAAUGAAAGAUUAAGAUGCCUUCCAUGGUAUCUAUACUGAGGGGGACAGUCCAGAAAACCAGGGAUUUGGAGAGGAAUGCCUGAGGUGCAAUGGAAGCCAAGAAAACACUGCCUGUCCCAGACGGAGAUAGAAGAAUUUUUUUGAAUCCUGUGUUGGCACUGUGAGUACAAAUGUCUAGAGGAAAAGGGAGUGGAUGCUGGAGGAUGGGGUGAUGGGGAAGAUGUGCUGUCCUUUGAGAAGUGUAAAGAGUUCAAUCUAAUGUGGACAGCUUGAGAUGAGAAAGAUGGAAAGGUUAUAGGGGGAGCAUAUUAUGAAGAUCUUAUUUGAACUUUAUCCAUAUAAUUCUCUCUACUCUCUUCCCUAGGAAUUACUCAACCUCUCUCCACCACUGUGGCAUUAAUUAGAUGUUUUCAGAGAUUUAUACUAUUAUAUUUAAAUAAAACAAUAAACUCCUUGGAGAAGAAAAUAAUUCAAAGUAUGUUUAUAGGAAAUUUCUGGUUUGGGAUCUUCAUCACUCCCUGUACUUUUUUGGCAGAGAAGAGCUGGCAGGAGGGUGUGUCAAGUGUCUUCUGGUGUUUAGAGGUAAGAACAUUACUAUUUGGCAUCUAUUCCAAUACAGUCGCCCUAAGCAAUUCUGCUGAACCAAGAACAUUGCCAGUAUGUGUAUGUGUUUAAGAUUCCAAGAAGUGAGCUAUUAAAACAAUAAAAGAAGUGCUAGAUGACA